UGAAAUGCUUUUUUUACUUGUUUUUCAGGUAUUGAAGCUUCAGGAGGGAAGGUUGACUGCAGCAGGUAUCCGCAGCCACCACUUGGUGAUUGCCCACAAGAAUACAGGCCUGUGUGUGGCACUGAUGGUAUGACCUAUGCCCAUGUAUGCAUCUUGUGUGCACAAAUUUGGGCAACUGGAGUUCAAAUUGGCAUACGACACAGAGGAGCAUGCAGCUCACAAGGU